rnacentral:rRNA from 1 species
GACGAACGCUGGCGGCGUGCUUAACACAUGCAAGUCGAACGAUGAAGCGGGUGCUUGCACUCGUGGAUUAGUGGCGAACGGGCGAGUAACACGUGAGUAACCUGUCCUUUUCUUUGGGAUAACGGCUGGAAACGGCUGCUAAUACUGGAUAUUCAGGCUGCAUCGCAUGGUGUGGUUUGGAAAGGUUUUUUCUGGGAUUGGGUGGGCUCGCGGCCUAUCAGCUUGUUGGUGGGGUGAUGGCUUACCAAGGCUUUGACGGGUAGCCGGCCUGAGAGGGUGGUCGGUCGCACUGGGACUGAGAUACGGCCCAGACUCCUACGGGAGGCAGCAGUGGGGAAUAGUGCACAAUGGACGAAAGUUUGAUGCAGCGACGCCGCGUGGAGGGUGUAGGCCUUCGGGUUGUGAACUCCUUUUUCUCGCGAAAAAGGCACAGUUUUGGCUGUGUUGAUGGUAGUGGGGGAAGAAGCGCCGGCUAACUACGU